GAUAAAGAAUACACUAGAGACACAAUCUGGAAAGGAUACCUUCAAAGAUGUGACUUCGAAAAAGGAAUUAAGGUAAUUGGAGCAUGAAAUUGGCCAACCGGGAAGCUUCAUCUAUAAAUCCAGUCGUUGUCAUGGAGAGCUGCAUUUCCUUAUUUAUAGAUGAUCAUCAUUUUCGAGAGACAGUCCUGAUGGAUAAAGGAUGCUCUACAUCAUCUUAGAAGGAUAGGAUGUGACAUAGAGAAAGGAACUAAGGAACAGCUCUUAAGGCUUGCUCUGGAUGCUUCACAGCCACCAGUGCAGAAGAAGCCGAAGCUUUAGCAUGCUGAGUGGGCAACAGAAAUGUCUUUGUAACUUUUUUCGAUUGAAGGCAACUGCAAAAGACUCCUUUCAAAAGCUCAAGGAAGCCUCCGCACAAUCGAAUGGCAGAAUGAAGAAAUACUAAGACAAAAUUAUCUUGUCUACAGCUCCAAAUUCUAUUUUUUUGGGUUUUCUGUUCAUCUCUAGGAAGGGUAAUAGAGUGGCUGACAAACUAGCAAAGGAAGCAAGGGAGUCUGUCCGGAAUCAAGACUGGAACUCCAACACUUUAAUGCCUAGUUAUACCUUAAAGUUUUUAUAUACAGAUAGACUUAAUAUAGAUACCAGGGAUGAUGAUCUUUCCCCUGUUUAUCUAGAAUCUAUCCCAGCAUGUAAUUAUGUUCGAACUUGAAGAGAGACACUCAUGUUGGGGGGUAUACUUACAUCAUCUUCUGUUGCUAUGUGAGGAACAACCAACAUAAGAUAAUCAAAGCUUUGAUCGCAAACCCCUUCAUUGUAGCUUGGAGAGUGAUGGUAUUGGUUAAUUAGAUUGGAACCCAGUGAAUCAUUAGAUUUAAACCCAGUUAAUGAACCUUAUACCGUCAUAAGUUACAUGUUUAAUUUUGAAUGGUUUGA